rnacentral:rRNA from 1 species
GAGGAACGCUGGCGGCGUGCCUAAUACAUGCAAGUCGAGCGAACAGACGAGGAGCUUUCUCCUCUGACGUUAUCGGCGGACGGGUGAGUAACACGUGGAUAACCUACCUAUAAGACUGGGAUAACUUCGGGAAACCGGAGCUAAUACCGGAUAAUAUAUUGAACCGCAUGGUUCAAUAGUGAAAGACGGUUUUGCUUUCACUUAUAGAUGGAUCCGCGCCGCAUUAGCUAGUUGGUAAGGUAACGGCUUACCAAGGCAACGAUGCGUAGCCGACCUGAGAGGGUGAUCGGCCACACUGGAACUGAGACACGGUCCAGACUCCUACGGGAGGCAGCAGUAGGGAAUCUUCCGCAAUGGGCGAAAGCUUGACGGAGCAACGCCGCGUGAGUGAUGAAGGUCUUCGGAUCGUAAAACUCUGUUAUUAGGGAAGAACAAAUGUGUAAGUAACUAUGCACGUCUUGACGGUACCUAAUCAGAAAGCCACGGCUAACUACGUG